ACUUGGGGCCCGUUUCCACCUAGGACUACAGGCUCAAGAUGGCCUGGUAGAUGCAGCCGGCACGCACCUCUCCUCUGACGGGAACCGAAGGAGCCGGAAGAAGUCCUCCCCUACAAAGCAAAUUCACAAACUUGGAAGAAGCAAUUUACACAGGAUGUGCAGAUCUCAAUGGAAGGACACGGGAAACGUGAAAAAGCAAGGAAGUGGGACGCCUCCAAAGGAACCCAGUAAUUCUCCAGCAACAGAUCCCCAUCCAAAAGAAAUUCAAGAAAUGUCAUAUAGAGAAUUGUGGAAACUGAUUUUAACCAAGAUUAGAGGGAUUCAAGAGACUUCUGAAAAAGAAAGUAAGGAAAUGUCAACAGCAAUUCUGGAUAUGGUUGAGGUAUUUACCAACCAGAUACAGAGUUUUCCAGAGCACAUGGCAAAUGUGGAACUGAAGAAAUCACUGGAUGAAAUACAAAGUAUACUCGAAAGCUUCAAUGAUAGACUAGAUCAAGCAGAAAAAAAACUCUCAAAACUUAAAAUCUGAAGGCUUUUACUCAAUUCAAAUAUUUAAUGGGUUGUACUCUGGCCAUUCAGGUGAACAAAAUCUGCUGGGUUAAUUUUUUUUUUUUUUUUUUUUUUGAGAUGGAGUCUCGCUCUGUCGCCCAGGCUGGAGUGCAGUGGCGGGACCUCGGCUCACUGCAAGCUCCGCCUCCCAGGUUCACGCCAUUCUCCUGCCUCAGCCUCCUGAGUAGCUGGGACUACAGGUGCCCGCCACCACACCCGGCUUAUUUUUUGUAUUUUUAGUAGAGGUGGGGUUUCACUGUUAGCCAGGAUGGUCUCGAUCUCUUAACCUCGUAAUCCACCCGCCUCGGCCUCCCAAAGUGCUGGGAUUACAGGCGUGAGCCACUGCGCCUGGCCUUGGGUUGUUAUACUGGGGUCUUGAAUAAUCAUUAAAGGUGAAAUGAAAAUAAUUUCCUUUUGAGGUGGUCAAUUUUGUGAGAUGGAUUCUUGUUAGGCAGCUGUCAUGGAAAGAUGAUUUAGUUCAGUUGACAUUAAUAAUACGCAUGGUAAUCCUAACAGGUGAAUGUGGUUCAAACUAAAUUGCCAGGGAAUUGUCAUGGUCUAGAAAAGCCACUCUCUCCAGUAGACUGCUCACACAGCUACAUGUCAGCCCUCCUCACUGUGAAAGUGACAGACACCCUAGCAUUUUUAUUCAUCUCCCUUAGGU
rnacentral:lncRNA from 1 species